CAACUUUUAACAACGGAUCUCUUGGCUCUCGCAUCGAUGAAGAACACAGCAAAAUGCGAUAAGUAAUGUGAAUUGCAGAAUUCAGUGAAUCAUCAAAUCUUUGAACACACCUUGCGCUCCUUGCUAUUCUGAGGAGCAUGCCUGUUGGAGUGUUGUGA
rnacentral:rRNA from 1 species